rnacentral:rRNA from 1 species
ACGUAUGGUGCAAGCGUUAUCCGGAUUUACUGGGUGUAAAGGGAGCGUAGACGGAGUGGCAAGUCUGAUGUGAAAACCCGGGGCUCAACCCCGGGACUGCAUUGGAAACUGUCAAUCUGGAGUACUGGAGAGGUAAGCGGAAUUCCUAGUGUAGCGGUGAAAUGCGUAGAUAUUAGGAGGAACACCAGUGGCGAAGGCGGCUUACUGGACGGUAACUGACGUUGAGGCUCGAAAGCGUGGGGAGCAAACAG